rnacentral:rRNA from 2 species
AACUCAAAGGAGACUGCCAGUGAUAAACUGGAGGAAGGUGGGGAUGACGUCAAGUCAUCAUGGCCCUUACGACCAGGGCUACACACGUGCUACAAUGGCGCAUACAAAGAGAAGCGACCUCGCGAGAGCAAGCGGACCUCAUAAAGUGCGUCGUAGUCCGGAUUGGAGUCUGCAACUCGACUCCAUGAAGUCGGAAUCGCUAGUAAUCGUGGAUCAGAAUGCCACGGUGAAUACGUUCCCGGGCCUUGUACACACCGCCCGUCACACCAUGGGAGUGGGUUGCAAAAGAAGUAGGUAGCUUAACCUUCGGGAGGGCGCUUACCACUUUGUGAUUCAUGACUGGGGUGAAGUCGUAACAAGGUAACCGUAGGGGAACCUGCGGUUGGAUCACCUCCUUA